rnacentral:rRNA from 1 species
UUUCUUGAUUAGUGGCGCACGGGUGAGUAAUGCAUAGAUAAUGUGCCCCUUAGUUCGGGAUAGCCACUGGAAACGGUGAUUAAUACCGGAUACUCCUUCUUGUUAUAAGACAAGUCGGGAAAGUUUUUCGCUAAGGGAUCAGUCUAUGUUCCAUCAGCUUGUUGGUGAGGUAAUGGCUCACCAAGGCUAUGACGGAUAUCUGGUUUGAGAGGAUGAUCAGACACACUGGAACUGAGACACGGUCCAGACUCCUACGGGAGGCAGCAGUGAGGAAUAUUGCACAAUGGAGGAAACUCUGAUGCAGCAACGCCGCGUGGAGGAUGACGCAUUUCGGUGUGUAAACUCCUUUUAUUAGGGAAGAUAAUGACGGUACCUAAUGAAUAAGCACCGGCUAACUCCGUGCCAGCAGCCGCGGUAAUACGGAGGGUGCAAGCGUUACUCGGAAUCACUGGGCGUAAAGGGUGCGUAGGCUGGCUUUUAAGUCAGAUGUGAAAUCCAAUGGCUCAACCAUUGAACUGCAUUUGAAACUGAAAGCCUAGAGUUCAGAAGGGGCAGAUGGAAUUAGUGGUGUAGGGGUAAAAUCCGUAGAUAUCACUAGGAAUAUCAAAAGCGAAGGCGAUCUGCUGGGAUGA